CAGCAGCCGCGGGAAUACGAAGGGGGCUAGCGUUGUUCGGAAUUACUGGGCGUAAAGGGCGCGUAGGCGGCCAUUCAAGUUAGAUGUGAAAGCCCUGGGCUCAACCUAGGAAUUGCAUUUGAUACUGUUUGGCUUGAGUUCGGGAGAGGUGAGUGGAAUUCCCAGUGUAGAGGUGAAAUCCGUAGAUAUUGGGAAGAACACCAGUGGCGAAGGCGGCUCACUGGACCGACACUGACGCUGAGGCGCGAAAGCGUGGGGAGCAAACAGGAUUAGAUACCCCAGUAGUCCCUGUCUCUUAUAC
rnacentral:rRNA from 1 species